GGCCCGAUGGUUUAGUGGUAUAAUUCUCGCUUAGGGCUCACAGCUUUAUCUGCGAGAGGUCCCGGGUUCAAUUCCCGGUUGGGCCC
rnacentral:tRNA from 1 species